UCAUCUACCCUCUAGUGGGGGAGUAAACCCUGGGAAAACCGGGGGCUAAUACCGCAUAAGCUCGAGAGAGGAAAGCAGCAAUGCGCUGGAGGAGGAGUCCGCGGCCGAUUAUUGCUAGUUGGUAGGGUAAAAGCCUACCAAGGCUACGAUCGGUAGCCGGCCUGAGAGGGCACACGGCCACACUGGCACUGAAACACGGGCCAG
rnacentral:rRNA from 1 species